CCUACGGGAGGCAGCAGUGAGGAAUAUUGGUCAAUGGGCGGAAGCCUGAACCAGCCAAGUAGCGUGCAGGAUGACGGCCCUACGGGUUGUAAACUGCUUUUAUACGGGAAUAACGCGCCUUACGUGUAGGGCUUUGCAUGUACCGUAUGAAUAAGGACCGGCUAAUUCCGUUCCAGCAGCCGCGCUAAUACGGAAGGUCCGGGCGUGAUCCGGAUGUAGUGGGUUUAAAGGGCGCGUAGGCCGCAUGGCAAGCGUGCUGUGAAAUGUCCGGGCUCAACCCGGGCCUUGCAGCGCGAACUGGCGUGCUAGAGUCCGCGGAAAGCAGGCAGAAUUCGUGGUGUAGCGGUGAAAUGCUUAGAUAUGACGAAGAACCCCGAUUGCGAAGGCAGCUUGCUGCAGCGGAACUGACGCUGAUGCUCGAAAGCGCGGGUAUCGAACAGGAUUAGAUACCCUAGUAGUC
rnacentral:rRNA from 1 species